CACUGUGCAUUAACAUAAAAUAUCGCAACUUAACUAAACGUAAAUGUCAAGACAGACCAGAAUAAGAAGAAGCAGGAAAAAUAAUAAUAACAAGAAGAAGAAAAAUAAAUAAAAGUAUACGAAUGAGUACAACACUGUAAUAUUCCCCCCAAUUUUUAUUAUUGUUGUGCUCGAAUGUUUUAAGGAGGAAAUACCAUUCUAUACAGAACAGAACACAUAUUUUAUGGAGCCGACCGAACGAACCAUCCAACCAACUUAACUAUAAGCAAGUAAACGACAAUACGCCAGCACAAGAAGUGGAAGAAGGGAAUUUUCUUACACACAUUUAUUUUUCCAUACUAAAAUUUUAUUUUAAAAACCAGCAGUGUUCAACGACGACUACGACGGCAACAAUGAUGGCUGACGGGUAGAAAUCGAGAAAACAACACAUUGUGGCAUUAGCAAAGCAAUUCUCUACUCUAUUCCAAUAUAAUGUAGGAAUGAACAAAUGGUUGAAUCAUUGACAGACAGUCCGUCCGUCCGUCAGCCCGUAUGACAGUCGUGGGGUCUGUUUGGCUGACAGUCUGAUGUUUUGUUUAUGCUUCUACUUGUAUUUUUACUUCGUCCCCAUUUUAGUUUGUUGUUAUUUUCCUCAUUUUUUCUGUGUGUGUGUUUUUGUUUAUUAGACGACGAUGAUGAUGUUUCAUGGCUGUUUCAUAGAACUGAACAGGCGGCAGUCGAUUUUUAUUAUUUGUUCGCAGAGCUUUUUGCUUCAAAAGCGUAUCUAAAAGCAUUGCGGCAAAAAAGGAACUUUUUCGAUCGAUAUGAAAAAGGUCGACAGGCAGCAUGGAUGACAGGUUGGUCGGAUGAUUGUACUGUUAGUUGACCAACUAUAUACUACUUAAAUAGUGUAUGUCGAUAAUGGCGCUUAAAAAAGCGCCAAUGAUAUUAAUACUUACAUUGGUACGUAAACGUUAAGGCCUUUAUUUAAUGUUUGGACAAACUAAUCGAUGAAAUAAAUGUACUAUUCACUAGGACACUGUUUCCCUUAUAAUAUGAA